rnacentral:rRNA from 1 species
UAACACGUAGGGGGCAAGCGUUAUUCGGAUUUACUGGGCGUAAAGCGCGUGCAGGCGGUCCGGUAAGUUGGAUGUGAAAUCUCCUGGCUCAACUGGGAGAGGUCGUUCAAUACUGUCGGACUAGAGGAUGGUAGAGGGAGGUGGAAUUCCCGGUGUAGUGGUGAAAUGCGUAGAUAUCGGGAGGAACACCAGUGGCGAAAGCGGCCUCCUGGCCCAUUCCUGACGCUCAGACGCGAAAGCUAGGGGAGCGAACGGGAUUAGACACCCCGGUAGUCCUAGCCUGUAAACGAUGUGGACUUGGCGUCGGUGGGGUAAAAGCCAUCGGUGCCGGAGCUAACGCGGUAAGUCCACCGCCUGGGGACUACGGCCGCAAGGUUAAAACUCAAAGGAAUUGACGGGGGCCCGCAC